rnacentral:rRNA from 1 species
AGCGAACGCUGGCGGCAGGCUUAACACAUGCAAGUCGAGCGGGCAUCCUUGUGGUGUCAGCGGCAGACGGGUGAGUAACGCGUGGGAACGUGCCCUUCGGUUCGGAAUAACUCAGGGAAACUUGAGCUAAUACCGGAUACGUGCGAGAGCAGAAAGGUUUAUCUGCCGAAGGAUCGGCCCGCGUCUGAUUAGCUAGUUGGUGAGGUUAUGGCUCACCAAGGCGACGAUCAGUAGCUGGUCUGAGGAUGAUCAGCCACACUGGGACUGAGACACGGCCCAGACUCCUACGGGAGGCAGCAGUGGGGAAUAUUGGACAAUGGGGGCAACCCUGAUCCAGCCAUGCCGCGUGAGUGAUGACGGCCUUAGGGUUGUAAAGCUCUUUUCGUCGGGACGAUAAUGACGGUACCGGAGGAAUAAACCCCGGCUAACUUCGU